rnacentral:rRNA from 15 species
CUACGGGAGGCAGCAGUGGGGAAUUUUCCGCAAUGGGCGAAAGCCUGACGGAGCAAUACCGCGUGAGGGAGGAAGGCUCUUGGGUUGUAAACCUCUUUUCUCAGGGAAGAACAAAAUGACGGUACCUGAGGAAUAAGCAUCGGCUAACUCCGUGCCAGCAGCCGCGGUAAUACGGAGGAUGCAAGCGUUAUCCGGAAUUAUUGGGCGUAAAGCGUCCGCAGGUGGCAAUUCAAGUCUGCUGUUAAAGGUUCUGGCUCAACCAGAGACAGGCAGUGGAAACUGAAUAGCUAGAGUGCGGUAGGGGCAGAGGGAAUUCCCAGUGUAGCGGUGAAAUGCGUAGAGAUCUGGAGGAAUACCGAUGGCGAAGGCAGCCAUCUGG